rnacentral:tRNA from 1 species
AAGGAAUUAGUUUAAAUUAAAACAUUAACUUGUCAAGUUAAAAUUAUUAUAUAUAGUAUUCUUUA